UUUUAUUUAUUUUUUUUAUUAUUAUUUUCAAUACUUUGCAUUUUAAAAUAAACUUCUAAAUGUCUGUUCAGUGGUCGCUAUGUAACUGACAGAAGACACAAUAUUAAAAUUGUGAUAGACAGCAGUUACAAAUGAUGUACAAAAUACACGUAGCCUACUCAUCUUUGCACCAAUAAAAUGUGCAACACUUUAUGUUUUACUACCAAAUUAUAUGUAAUAUCUAAUUAAUUUAACUUUGAGAGGAUACAAGACCUGAUUUUCGUCUCAGCAGGGAGGACAUCAGAGAACUCCUGACAGUGCUGGAGAUGGACAGGCAUCAUGGGUAGAGGCCGACUCUGGAAACCCUGGUGAUCCUGUUUUGGUUGGCAACUGGGACAUCCUACAGCUUAGUUUGCAGGGCCUUUGAAUGCCCCUACCAACUGUUCCUAUUGUUAUAUUUAUAAUGUAUGAAAAACUAUAAAAUCAGCCACUUUUCUUUACAUUCACAACACUGGCAUACCAUCAGAGUAUGCACAUGAAUAUGGAUCUAGAGCUGACUUGAUACACCUGAUUUACAAUAUUGCUACACAUUCUUUCUUAUAACAACCAAAUUAUUGAUCUCAUUUUACCUGCAGGUGGUUGCAGCUUGUGCAAUAUUGCACAACAUAUGCAUUGGUGUAGGUGACCUCUUGGAAGAUGGAGAUGUUCCACAGGACAACAAUCAGCCUCUCCGAGGAAAUAAUGAUGACAGCCGGAGCGGAGCAGCAUGGAUCAUGACUACUUUUUUCAGUCCUGAAUCCUGAUACAGAGACUUUUUUCUUUUUUUUUUUUCAAGUCAAAGUGACCUGUGACUUUUUUGUGUUCUUCAGUUAAUAUUAAACUUUACUUGCCUUGACUUGUAAUAAUUGCUUUAAGGAGCUCAUUGAUUCGGCCUAAAAUAAUUCAUGUUAGCUAACUGCAUGAUUUUUAUUAUCUUAAACUGUACAUUUCUGAAAUGGACAUUACUUUCACAGUCACCUCUGAUAACAGAUCACUCUAAAUUGUGUAGACGUGUAUUUUCUGUAAAGCUGCUUUGAAACAAUAUGUAUUGUGAAAUAAAUGUGAAUUUACACUGUUUUAAUCUGUUUAUUUAAUAUUGAACAUAAAGGUUUAUGCAAUAAAGUAUGAUGUAUAAUUUAAA